UCUGGAGAAAACUUUUGGUGGGUCUGAUUUUCUGAUCCGUUUCUCCUUCAUUUGAGGAUCAUCACCAUUGUUCUCUGUUUCGCCGCUUCUCGAGGCCCUCUUCUUUCUAGUCAUCUCAUUGAGAUUUAAUGAAUCGUGUCUUUUAGUCUUGAGACGGUUUGAUGUUCUCAGGAUGUUGGUGUUGGAUUCCAUAUUCUCAUUGCCAAAGUUAUCUUCUUUGAAGCAAGUUUUCACUUCAUUAGGCGUAGCGUUUGCAACUUCAGGGAAUUCUCUAGUUG